UACAGAGGUCCCGAGCGUUGUUCGGAUUCACUGGGCGUAAAGGGUGCGUAGGUGGCGAGGUAAGUCGGAUGUGAAAGCUCGGAGCUCAACUCCGAAAUGGCAUUGGAAACUACCUUGCUCGAGGGUUGGAGGGGGGACUGAAAUACUUGGUGUAGCAGUGAAAUGCGUAGAUAUCAAGUGGAACACCAGUGGCGAAGGCGAGUCCCUGGACAACUCCUGACACUGAGGCACGAAAGCUAGGGGAGCAAACAGG
rnacentral:rRNA from 1 species